CCAUCCCGCGUGCAGGAUGACGGCCCUAUGGGUUGUAAACUGCUUUUAUACAGGAAGAAAAAUCUCUACGUGUAGGGACUUGCCGGUACUGUAUGAAUAAGCAUCGGCUAACUCCGUGCCAGCAGCCGCGGUAAUA
rnacentral:rRNA from 1 species